UGUUACCACAGUACCAAUGGUGAGAGAACAAAGGCUAUCACCAGGUCCUCUAACCCUGCUAAGAGUAGGUGUUAUCAGCACAGCAGCAAAGCCCUCUUUAUCCUAAAACUGCUAUGGGGGAGAUCAGGUCCCUUCUGAUUUAACAAAGACUGGAUUCUAGGUGAAAGCCACAUGACUUCAGAUCAGUAUAGGCAACAUAAAAAGCACUAGUGAAGUCAGGACAAACUAAAAUAUCAUACCGACAAUGACUUGUUUAUACUUCUCUAUAGACACUGAAAUAAGGAAGAAAGGAAGCAACCAUUAAAGAGGAGCAGAGGUCCAAAUCUAAGGACUGCUCAGAGCUUGUG